UACGUAGGGGGCAAGCGUUGUCCGGAUUCAUUGGGCGUAAAGAGCGUGUAGGCGUCCCGGUAGGUCGGUUGUGAAAACUGGAGGCUCAACCUUCAGAGGUCGACCGAAACCAUCUGGCUAGAGUCCGGGAGAGGAGAGUGGAAUUCCUGGUGUAGCGGUGAAAUGCGCAGAUAUCAGGAAGAACACCCGUGGCGAAAGCGGCUCUCUGGAACGGUACUGACGCUGAGACGCGAAAGCGUGGGGAGCGAACAGG
rnacentral:rRNA from 1 species